rnacentral:rRNA from 1 species
UGAAAUGCGUAGAGAUGUGGAGGAACACCAAUGGCGAAGGCAGCCCCCUGGGAUAACACUGACGCUCAUGUACGAAAGCGUGGGUAGCAAACAGGAUUAGAUACCCUGGUAGUCCACGCCCUAAACGAUGUCAACUGGUUGUUGGGGGAGUGAAAUCCCUUAGUAACGAAGCUAACGCGUGAAGUUGACCGCCUGGGGAGUACGGUCGCAAGAUUAAAACUCAAAGGAAUUGACGGGGACCCGCACAAGCGGUGGAUGAUGUGGAUUAAUUCGAUGCAACGCGAAAAACCUUACCUACCCUUGACAUGUCCAGAAUCCUGCAGAGAUGCGGGAGUGCCCGAAAGGGAAUUGGAACACAGGUGCUGCAUGGCUGUCGUCAGCUCGUGUCGUGAGAUGUUGGGUUAAGUCCCGCAACGAGCGCAACCC